GUGUUUGCUUAACUGGAUCAGGCCUUUAUAUUGGAACCCCAGUAUGUGAUGACCUAAAAGCUCCUCGAUCACAAACCUUUGUGUAUCAGACCCAAACAUACAAAGGCAACAAGAACAUACUUCUGACCGAGCUGAGUUAAAACUCUGCCAGAGAGUGAAUCCAUGAUUCGAGCUUGGUAAUCAUCUUCAGCUUGAGGAUCUGAUCUGAUGAAAUUAUAUGCCUUUUGUGACCCAAUCCAUGGACCCAGAAAUUCGAGCAACAGAGCCUAACUCCUGAAGAAAUUGAUGGUUUUGAAC